AUCUGAUACAGAUUAUUGGUGCCUCUGUGGUCAAUGUCAUGGCAGAAAGCAGCAGCGAGCAUGGCAAAAGCUUCGAGAGAAAUGUGCAGGUUUAUGAUUGACAGCGCUCUGGACCUACCAUCAGCAAAGUGAACAUGGUCUGCCCCACAUUGAAUCCGUGCCGCCAGUUGUGGUGAUUUUAAGCAAGACAGAAAUGUGUGGAGCAGUGAGGACCUUCUCCUUGGUCAUGUCCAGCAGUCCAAUGGAGUACCGCUCACAGUUCAGCAGAGAGGAAGUAGAUCUUCCCAGAUACAAGCCUCACGUGGUAGAUGCAAGAGAUGAUUCUAAUACACUCACCGUGGAAAGAGCAGAGAGGUGAGUUUGGAGAGAUUUUGCCACAGCGACGGAAAGGUGGUGAACUUGCAGAGCAUGGACUGCUGGCUACCAGGGGUCGGGGACUAGGUGAAAAAAAUGAAGGGAUUACAAGUACAGAUUGAUAGUUACAGAUCAGUCAUGGGUGCCAGGUGAAAGAAUCCAUUUGGGAGCCAAUCCAUCCCAAAGACGUGUGUGUUGUGGGUGAGAGGCAUGGGGAGCGGUGCAGGCGUCUUGGCAUCUGACUGUUGGCUGAGCUCCUCAGGGGCAGCCUGCUGUGUGGUGUUGUUAGAGGGAUGUGCCCAGAGCAUGGAGGUGUAAGCGAAGGUGUGAACUGUACCUGGCCCAGGUAAGUUACCUGACAAAAUGCCAAAUUUACACUAUGAAAUUAUUUAUUCUUUAUCUGAAGUUCAGAUUGAACUAGGCCUCUGGAAUUUUUUAUUUGCUAAAUCUGGCAGCCCUGGAGCUGGGUACUCCUCUGCUG